rnacentral:tRNA from 1 species
UGGGGCGUGGCCGAGUGGUAAGGCAACGGGUUUUGGUCUCGCUAUUCGGGGGUUCGAAUCCUUCCGUCCCAG